GACGAACGCUGGCGGCGUGCCUAAUACAUGCAAGUAGAACGCUGAAGGAGGAGCUUGCUUCUCUGGAUGAGUUGCGAACGGGUGAGUAACGCGUAGGUAACCUGCCUGGUAGCGGGGGAUAACUAUUGGAAACGAUAGCUAAUACCGCAUAAGAGUAGAUGUCGCAUGACAUUUGCUUAAAAGGUGCAAUUGCAUCACUACCAGAUGGACCUGCGUUGUAUUAGCUAGUUGGUGAGGUAACGGCUCACCAAGGCAACGAUCCAUAGCCGACCUGAGAGGGUGAUCGGCCACACUGGGACUGAGACACGGCCCAGACUCCUACGGGAGGCAGCAGUAGGGAAUCUUCGGCAAUGGACGGAAGUCUGACCGAGCAACGCCGCGUGAGUGAAGAAGGUUUUCGGAUCGUAAAGCUCUGUUGUAAGAGAAGAACGAGUGUGAGAGUGGAAAGUUCACACUGUGACGGUAUCUUACCAGAAAGGGACGGCUAACUACGUG
rnacentral:rRNA from 1 species